CUACGGAGGGUGCAAGCGUUAUUCGGAAUUAUUGGGCGUAAAGGGCGUGUAGGCGGUUUUAUCGGUCAGAUGUGAAAGCCCAGGGCUCAACCCUGGACGUGCAUUUGAAACAGUAAGACUUGAGUACGGUAGAGGAAAGCGGAAUUCCUGGUGUAGAGGUGAAAUUCGUAGAUAUCAGGAGGAACACCAGUGGCGAAGGCGACUUUCUGGACCAAUACUGACGCUGAGGCGCGAAAGCGUGGGGAGCAAACAGGAUUAGAUACCCCAGUAGUCC
rnacentral:rRNA from 1 species